rnacentral:rRNA from 1 species
AACGAACGCUGGCGGCAUGCCUAACACAUGCAAGUCGAACGAGACCUUCGGGUCUAGAGGCGCACGGGUGCGUAACGCGUGGGAACCUGCCCUUAGGUUCGGAAUAACUCCCCGAAAGAGGUGCUAAUACCGGAUAAUGUCUUCGGACCAAAGAUUUAUCGCCUUUGGAUGGGCCCGCGUUGGAUUAGCUAGUUGGUAGGGUAAAAGCCUACCAAGGCGACGAUCCAUAGCUGGUCUGAGAGGAUGAUCAGCCACACUGGGACUGAGACACGGCCCAGACUCCUACGGGAGGCAGCAGUGGGGAAUAUUGGACAAUGGGCGAAAGCCUGAUCCAGCAAUGCCGCGUGAGUGAUGAAGGCCUUAGGGUUGUAAAGCUCUUUUACCCGGGAUGAUAAUGACAGUACCGGGAGAAUAAGCUCCGGCUAACUCCGUG